rnacentral:rRNA from 1 species
ACGAACGCUGGCGGCGUGCCUAAUACAUGCCAGUCGAGCGAAGUUUUUCUGGUGCUUGCACUAGAAAAACUUAGCGGCGAACGGGUGAGUAACACGUAAAGAACCUGCCUCAUAGACUGGGACAACUAUUGGAAACGAUAGCUAAUACCGGAUAACAGUAUUUCUCGCAUGAGAGAUAUUUAAAAGUUGGUUAUGCUAACACUAUGAGAUGGCUUUGCGGUGCAUUAGCUAGUUGGCGGGGUAAAGGCCCACCAAGGCGACGAUGCAUAGCCGACCUGAGAGGGUGAUCGGCCACACUGGGACUGAGACACGGCCCAGACUCCUACGGGAGGCAGCAGUAGGGAAUCUUCCGCAAUGGGCGAAAGCCUGACGGAGCAACGCCGCGUGAGUGAAGAAGGAUUUCGGUUCGUAAAGCUCUGUUGUUAGGGAAGAAUGGAUAUGUAGUAACUAUACAUGUAAGAGACGGUACCUAACCAGAAAGCCACGGCUAACUACGUG